rnacentral:misc_RNA from 1 species
GUGAAUAUGGGUUCCCCGAGGAUGCCCGCUUGAGCUGUUCGCUACUGAAAGUAUAUGACGGUAUAGUUUUUAAUCGUGUUCGUAGUACCUUGAAAGCUGCACUUUGCUGAGGCAACAGCAUCAGUAGACCAUACAGGGACUUCAACAGCCAUGGAUACUUCCCAGGUUCAAGAAGCUGUAAUCUUAGAUAAGCAAAGAUUGGAGUCUCCAGAAGGCGGAUUAACUUGUCCAGUUG